rnacentral:lncRNA from 1 species
UGACAUCACCGACAAUUAACAACAAAGAUAAUACUGAAAAUGAAAAUUGGAAUAAAAAUCAUAAUUAGCAUACGAAAGCAAAGAUUACAAAAAUUGAAUCAAACUAUAAAUUUAGGAAUUAGUUUAAUUAGUUGAGCUCCACGGUUACAGACAGUUAAUAAAGUGAUCUAUAAUAAUAAAAUGGAACUUUGAAAUUUUGCUUACCUUGUUUGAAAUAUGCAGAAUCUUCGUGUGUGUAAUUUUUGUUUGUGUUAUCGAUUUUACUUUGAUUUGGAAAUAAUUGAAGUGUUUAAAUUUGAGAUCAAUGUUGAAUUGGAAAUUGGAAAUGUGAGGAAGAGGUUGGAAAAACGGAGAGGUUUGAAGUUUCAACUGCCAGAAAGUAAAAUCACGAAAAGUGUAUGAGAAUAUAAGUAAAAGGGGAAAAGGUGAGUAGAGAGAAUCACGUUUAAUUUAGUUUAGUUUAGAGAGUCAAAGUUGGAGAAGAAAGUAGAAGCCAGAAAAACGAUUAAAAAGAAAGAGGAAAAAAAUUCCCUUUUUGGAGAAGUCGUUAUCUUGCAACUUCAUCGGUGAGUCACUAAUGGGACCUCUCGGUAAAAAAUUCCCUUUUUGGAGAUGCCUCUAGUGUUUGUUUGUU